CUCUUUUCUCUGGUUAGUUCCCUGGCUAAUUACUUAUUCUCGAUUUCGAUCACUGAAUGCGGGUUUCACUAGU
rnacentral:tRNA from 1 species